GCGAUGAAGCUUCCUUCGGGAAGUGGAUUAGCGGCGGACGGGUGAGUAACACGUGGGUAACCUGCCUCAAAGUGGGGGAUAGCCUUCCGAAAGGAAGAUUAAUACCGCAUAAUAUGAGAGAAUCGCAUGAUUUUCUUAUCAAAGAUUUAUUGCUUUGAGAUGGACCCGCGGCGCAUUAGCUAGUUGGUAAGGUAACGGCUUACCAAGGCAACGAUGCGUAGCCGACCUGAGAGGGUGAUCGGCCACAUUGGAACUGAGACACGGUCCAGACUCCUACGGGAGGCAGCAGUGGGGAAUAUUGCGCAAUGGGGGAAACCCUGACGCAGCAACGCCGCGUGGGUGAUGAAGGUCUUCGGAUUGUAAAGCCCUGUUUUCUGGGACGAUAAUGACGGUACCAGAGGAGGAAGCCACGGCUAACUACGUGCCAGCAGCCGCGGUAAUACGUAGGUGGCGAGCGUUGUCCGGAUUUACUGGGCGUAAAGGGUGCGUAGGCGGAUGUUUAAGUGGGAUGUGAAAUCCCCGGGCUUAACCUGGGGGCUGCAUUCCAAACUGGAUAUCUAGAGUGCAGGAGAGGAAAGCGGAAUUCCUAGUGUAGCGGUGAAAUGCGUAGAGAUUAGGAAGAACACCAGUGGCGAAGGCGGCUUUCUGGACUGUAACUGACGCUGAGGCACGAAAGCGUGGGUAGCAAACAGGAUUAGAUACCCUGGUAGUCCACGCCGUAAACGAUGGAUACUAGGUGUAGGGGGUAUCAACUCCCCCUGUGCCGCAGUUAACACAAUAAGUAUCCCGCCUGGGGAGUACGGUCGCAAGAUUAAAACUCAAAGGAAUUGACGGGGGCCCGCACAAGCAGCGGAGCAUGUGGUUUAAUUCGAAGCAACGCGAAGAACCUUACCUGGACUUGACAUCCCUUGCAUAGCCUAGAGAUAGGUGAAGCCCUUCGGGGCAAGGAGACAGGGUGGUGCAUGGGCUGUCGUCAGCUCGUGUCGUGAGAUGUUAGGUUAAGUCCUGCAACGAGCGCAACCCUUUGUUAUUAG
rnacentral:rRNA from 1 species